rnacentral:rRNA from 1 species
CAUUGGAAUCCUGAAGCACCACCACGAAUGCUACCGCGCGUGCGCCUGCGGUGCGGUAAGGCACCACCCUGUUGUGCCAGCAGCCAACUCCGGCGUGUCAGCUCGUCAUGA